UCAAACGAGAGUUUGAUCCUGGCUCAGAACGAACGCUGGCGGCGUGCUUAACACAUGCAAGUCGAGUGCGCGUGCCGUAGCAAU
rnacentral:ncRNA from 1 species